rnacentral:rRNA from 1 species
ACGGGUGAGUAACACGUGGGAACGUACCCUUCGGUUCGGAAUAACGCUGGGAAACUAGCGCUAAUACCGGAUACGCCCUUUUGGGGAAAGGUUUACUGCCGAAGGAUCGGCCCGCGUCUGAUUAGCUAGUUGGUGGGGUAAUGGCCUACCAAGGCGACGAUCAGUAGCUGGUCUGAGAGGAUGAUCAGCCACACUGGGACUGAGACACGGCCCAGACUCCUACGGGAGGCAGCAGUGGGGAAUAUUGGACAAUGGGCGCAAGCCUGAUCCAGCCAUGCCGCGUGAGUGAUGAAGGCCUUAGGGUUGUAAAGCUCUUUUGUCCGGGACGUUAAUGACGGUACCGGAAGAAUAAGCCCCGGCUAACUUCGUGCCAGCAGCCGCGGUAAUACGAAGGGGGCUAGCGUUGCUCGGAAUCACUGGGCGUAAAGGGCGCGUAGGCGGCCAUUCAAGUCGGGGGUGAAAGCCUGUGGCUCAACCACAGAAUUGCCUUCGAUACUGUUUGGCUUGAGUAUGGCAGAGGUCAGUGGAACUGCGAGUGUAGAGGUGAAAUUCGUAGA